ensembl:lncRNA
CCCCCCAAACACACACACACACUCCAAAGGGUCAGUGACCCUUUGAUGUUUUGGAGAGAACUUGUAGUGUUGCUGCAAACAAGAACCUUCGUCCUUCUUUCUGAGUCACAGCUUCAGGGAAACAGACGGGUCCCUUUGAAGCAGAGAAACCCAACAAGUGGACACACUCAUAAAGUCCAAAAACGCCCCCCGGCCGCGUGGGGGCUGAGAGGGACCCUCGUACCAUCACCACCUUGUGUUUACUCCUCUUCAUCGAGGGCGGAAAGUCCAUCUGAAGGAGACUCGUCAUCUUAAGGGAGACUACCGAGUCACUUUGAUUCUUCUGCUUCUUCUUCCCAGAAUCCACCGCUACGAUGCUCGCCAAUGACGUGAAGCAACAGAAGCUACUGCAAACAACCUGGAGACAACGUGGGGCUUUUGUCUUCUUUUUGUACAAGGUCAUUUCUGGGAAACCAAGUAACCAGCGACUCUUUCAAAUCAGUGCAAAGCCUUUCAUCGCUGACACUUUCAUGUGCAACAUGGCUCCAAAUGUUCUGUUUUAUUUUCAUUUUCAUGAACCUGGAGACGAGCCGGACGGAGUGAACGAGGGUGUCGAGUCUCCACCUGGUGGCCACUUCCCACAGUUCAUCGUCCACCAUGAGACGCAAGGAAAUUAAAAUAUGCCGUUCAUAUAUCGGAGCGACCUGCUCAGAAGCUGAGAUGUGAGGAGGCCUCUUCCUCUCACCCAGAUGUGUGAGUACGUGCAUCUGGGGGCCACAGACGGACACCUCCACUGAGCAGCUGUGGGCUCUUUUCCACCUGAAAAGAUUUGUAUUCUUCGCGAGCAGAGAGACGCCUUCAAAUCCCCCUCAACGAAAAAAGAAAGAGAAAAGAAAAGGUCACCAUGAUUUUUUAAUGAAAUGUAAGAAAGAACCCUGAGGAAAACGAUGAACCGAGAUCACCUCUCUCGGAGUUCUGCAUUCGCGUCGCCGUGGUUACCGGAUCCCUCGCCCCAUGUGACCGUAUGACAUCAGUCAGCUUUGUCCCACAAAGACGAGCUUUAAAGAGAAUGUGGGCGACUGUUUCCACUGACGACGCAUAGAAUAUUUCUCUUUUAAGUGUUUUAUAGACUUUUGUGUCGGCGAUCACGUCAGUGUCUUAUGAUUUUAGUGAGUCAUGUGCAAAUAUCCUUUGAUCUUGUCUGUGACUUUUGGCUUCUUUUUAUAUGAGACACACACACACACACACACACACACGCAUGUCAGCUGAUGUCAGGAGAGUUCAUAACACAUCAACCUGAAUCAAUCUGCCCACAAUCCUUCUUGUUGGAGUCCAGAUGUGCGGAGCAGGAAGAGGAUUCGGUCCGGACUAAUUGCUGCGUUGGGGGAAAAGUGCGAUUCGAUGCGGCGGUCGUCAUGGGAGACGAAGGGAAGGAAGGAUCCGGUCGCUCCGGGUCUCAUCUCUCGGGGACCAAGAGGACACGUUGGCCCGAGGUCAUGGCGAGGGAAUCGCCC